rnacentral:lncRNA from 1 species
AGCAUGGAUUCCCCCGACAGACUGGAAAUCUACAUCCCAGUGGAGGCUGAGGUCAAAUGCAUCCCUCUGUGGAGCUUACCAGCCUCAGUGCUCAAAAGAAUGGGCCUCUCCGCCUGUGACUCUGAGGGCUCCAAGACGCUGGCGAGCUCCCCAGAGGGCAUAUGGAUCAGUCCGGCAGUUAUACGGAGGAAAGGGCAGAAACUGGCCCCCCACACGGGAAGGACCACCAAGGAGAAUCUGUCUCUGCGCCUGAGCAGAGUGUUCCAGGCUGCGCCGGGGCCCCUCCGGAUGUCUUUUGUCUCCUCCAACAGCGUCGCUUACGACGUGCUGAGGGACAUAAAGCCCAGCGCAACGCGCCGGUCUCAUGCGUCCGCGUUGCCCCAGGGUUCGCCGCCGCAGACUUACGGAACUGGCAUUGUGGUCUACAAAGGAUGCAUUUACCUGUCCAUCAGGAAGUCAAGUCAGAUUCAACCAGAGACGCCCGGUUCCUCUACUCCCUCAUCGUCGUCGAAGAGACAGAAGAAGGUGCUGCUAAAGGACAACAGGCACAAGAAGAAACACGCCAAAGGUGAGGCGAGGGAAGCGUCCUCGUCCAGGGCUGCACGCUCGGCCCCUCUGUCCUCUGACGAGGUGCUGGAGGUGGACGGCCCCCGUCACAGGGGAGGCCCGCAGCCGCAGGCGGCGGAGGAAGCUGCAGCCCCUGGGCCGGCCUGGGCACCGGAAGACACCGAAGACAGCGGUGAAUGUGAGAUGCAGCGCCUGGACAGCAACGAAACGGAGGUCACCAGUCAGCGCGGUGCCACAGUGCCUCUGGGUGCAGCCUGUGCCUCCACAUCCCUGGUGAAGGAGUGUGACUUUGAUGAGUUGGUAAACCAGGAGAGGAUCACUCAGAUGAAGGCCAGACUCAAACAGCAGGAAGCUGCUCUCAACUGCCUGCCUUCCUCACAGUAACUGCUCCGUCCGACUCAAACAGCGCUGAUGAGGCUUCAAGUCCACAAAAAUCCAACUCACGGGUUACCUGACAACUUGUUGGUUGACGGCGACCCCCCCCGGCAUCAUUACUGUAAUCUGAUUAUUCGUGAACCAGUUCUUUAAUAAACCCUAUUUUCACCAAGGAUAAAGUGUCUAGUGUUCACUGAAGCUCAUUUUCACCACACAAACAUGUUUAAUAGUUCAGGAUUUCUCAGGGCCACGCAGCUGACGGUACAGACAGGAGCGACUACAAACAGCAGAAAUGUACAGACGAACCAGCGACCACGCUCACGUUCACACAUACAUCAGCUGCGUGUGUUGAGACCGUGGGAGGAAGAUGGAGCACCUGACCACUAACCACCGCAGCGCCGCGCUGCUCAGUUUUAAUGCACAGCACAAGUUACAACUAUUUCUCUCCCAAAACAAACCAUAUUAAUAUUUACUGACGAUUAAGCAUCUCUUCUACUGACCGUGGUUGGUUCGCAAAGACAAAACAUUUUUUAUCACACAAAUACUCAGUGUUUUUCUAAAAC